rnacentral:rRNA from 1 species
UGGGGAAUUUUGGACAAUGGGCGCAAGCCUGAUCCAGCCAUGCCGCGUGUGGGAAGAAGGCCUUCGGGUUGUAAACCACUUUUGUCAGGGAAGAAACGGCUCUUACUAAUAUUAGGAGCUAAUGACGGUACCUGAAGAAUAAGCACCGGCUAACUACGUGCCAGCAGCCGCGGUAAUACGUAGGGUGCAAGCGUUAAUCGGAAUUACUGGGCGUAAAGCGUGCGCAGGCGGCUUUGCAAGACAGAUGUGAAGUCCCCGGGCUCAACCUGGGAACUGCAUUUGUGACUGCAUGGCUAGAGUACGGUAGAGGGGGAUGGAAUUCCGCGUGUAGCAGUGAAAUGCGUAGAUAUGCGGAGGAACACCGAUGGCGAAGGCAAUCCCCUGGACCUGUACUGACGCUCAUGCACGAAAGCGUGGGGAGCAAACAGGAUUAGAUACCCUGGUAGUCCACGCCCUAAACGAUGUCAACUGGUUGUUGGACGGCUUGCUGUUCAGUAACGAAGCUAACGCGUGAAGUUGACCGCCUGGGGAGUACGGCCGCAAGGUUGA